GAUGAAGAACGUAGCGAAAUGCGAUAAGUAACGUGAAUUGCAGAAUUCAGUGAAUCAUCGAAUCUUUGAACGCAUCUUGCGCUCCUUGGUAUUCUGAGGAGCAUGCCUGUUUGAGUGUCAUUAAAUUCUCAACUACACUGACUUUGAAUUGGUGUGGCUUGGAUUUGGGGGGAAAAUUGUUGUGGGCUUUUUGUAUAGUCUGCUCCCCUGAAAUUGAUUAGCGGUACCUUUGUGGAACUGUCUACAGGUGUGAUAAUUAUCUACAUCUUAGACAUCUGCUGGAAUGCUGCUUUCUAAACCUUACUUGUAUUGACAAUCUUGACCUCAAAUCAGGUAGGACUACCCGCUGAACUUAAGCAUAUCAAUAAGCGGAGGA
rnacentral:misc_RNA from 1 species